GGUUAAGCGACUAAGCGUACACGGUGGAUGCCUAGGCAGUCAGAGGCGAUGAAGGGCGUGCUAAUCUGCGAAAAGCGUCGGUAAGCUGAUAUGAAGCGUUAUAACCGACGAUACCCGAAUGGGGAAACCCAGUGCAAUACGUUGCACUAUCGUUAGAUGAAUACAUAGUCUAACGAGGCGAACCGGGGGAACUGAAACAUCUAAGUACCCCGAGGAAAAGAAAUCAACCGAGAUUCCCCCAGUAGCGGCGAGCGAACGGGGAGGAGCCCAGAGUCUGAAUCAGUUUGUGUGUUAGUGGAAGCGUCUGGAAAGUCGCACGGUACAGGGUGAUAGUCCCGUACACCAAAAUGCACAGGCUGUGAACUCGAUGAGUAGGGCGGGACACGUGACAUCCUGUCUGAAUAUGGGGGGACCAUCCUCCAAGGCUAAAUACUCCUGACUGACCGAUAGUGAACCAGUACCGUGAGGGAAAGGCGAAAAGAACCCCGGCGAGGGGAGUGAAAUAGAACCUGAAACCGUGUACGUACAAGCAGUGGGAGCACCUUCGUGGUGUGACUGCGUACCUUUUGUAUAAUGGGUCAGCGACUUAUAUUUUGUAGCAAGGUUAACCGAAUAGGGGAGCCGUAGGGAAACCGAGUCUUAACUGGGCGUCUAGUUGCAAGGUAUAGACCCGAAACCCGGUGAUCUAGCCAUGGGCAGGUUGAAGGGUUGGGUAACACUAACUGGAGGGACCGAACCGACUAAUGUUGAAAAAUUAGCGGAUGACUUGUGGCUGGGGGUGAAAGGCCAAUCAAACCGGGAGAUAGCUGGUUCUCCCCGAAAGCUAUUUAGGUAGCGCCUCGUGAACUCAUCUUCGGGGGUAGAGCACUGUUUCGGCUAGGGGGCCAUCCCGGCUUACCAAACCGAUGCAAACUCCGAAUACCGAAGAAUGUUAUCACGGGAGACACACGGCGGGUGCUAACGUCCGUCGUGAAGAGGGAAACAACCCAGACCGCCAGCUAAGGUCCCAAAGUCAUGGUUAAGUGGGAAACGAUGUGGGAAGGCACAGACAGCCAGGAUGUUGGCUUAGAAGCAGCCAUCAUUUAAAGAAAGCGUAAUAGCUCACUGGUCGAGUCGGCCUGCGCGGAAGAUGUAACGGGGCUAAACCAUGCACCGAAGCUGCGGCAGCGACACUUAGGUGUUGUUGGGUAGGGGAGCGUUCUGUAAGCCGUUGAAGGUGACCUGUGAGGGUUGCUGGAGGUAUCAGAAGUGCGAAUGCUGACAUAAGUAACGAUAAUGCGGGUGAAAAACCCGCACGCCGGAAGACCAAGGGUUCCUGUCCAACGUUAAUCGGGGCAGGGUGAGUCGACCCCUAAGGCGAGGCUGAAAAGCGUAGUCGAUGGGAAACAGGUUAAUAUUCCUGUACUUGGUGUUACUGCGAAGGGGGGACGGAGAAGGCUAGGCUGGCCGGGCGACGGUUGUCCCGGUUUAAGCGUGUAGGGGGAGUGACCAGGUAAAUCCGGUUGCUUAUCAACCCUGAGGCGUGAUGACGAUGCACCACGGUGCAGAAGCAGUUGAUGCCAUGCUUCCAGGAAAAGCCUCUAAGCAUCAGGUAACAUUAAAUCGUACCCCAAACCGACACAGGUGGUCAGGUAGAGAAUACUCAGGCGCUUGAGAGAACUCGGGUGAAGGAACUAGGCAAAAUGGUGCCGUAACUUCGGGAGAAGGCACGCUGGCGUUAGGUGAAAGGACUAGCUCCUGGAGCUGAAGCCAGUCGCAGAUACCAGCUGGCUGCAACUGUUUAAUAAAAACACAGCACUGUGCAAACACGAAAGUGGACGUAUACAGUGUGACGCCUGCCCGGUGCUGGAAGGUUAAUUGAUGGGGUCAGCCGCAAGGCGAAGCUCUUGAUCGAAGCCCCAGUAAACGGCGGCCGUAACUAUAACGGUCCUAAGGUAGCGAAAUUCCUUGUCGGGUAAGUUCCGACCUGCACGAAUGGCGUAAUGAUGGCCAGGCUGUCUCCACCCGAGACUCAGUGAAAUUGAACUCGCUGUGAAGAUGCAGUGUACCCGCGGCAAGACGGAAAGACCCCGUGAACCUUUACUAUAGCUUGACACUGAACAUUGAGCCUUGAUGUGUAGGAUAGGUGGGAGGCCUUGAAGUGUGGACGCCAGUCUGCAUGGAGCCAACCUUGAAAUACCACCCUUUAAUGUUUGAUGUUCUAACUCGGCCCCAUGAUCUGGGGUGAGGACAGUGUCUGGUGGGUAGUUUGACUGGGGCGGUCUCCUCCCAAAGAGUAACGGAGGAGCACGAAGGUUAGCUAAUCACGGUCGGACAUCGUGAGGUUAGUGCAAAGGCAUAAGCUAGCUUGACUGCGAGAGUGACGGCUCGAGCAGGUACGAAAGUAGGUCUUAGUGAUCCGGUGGUUCUGAAUGGAAGGGCCAUCGCUCAACGGAUAAAAGGUACUCCGGGGAUAACAGGCUGAUACCGCCCAAGAGUUCAUAUCGACGGCGGUGUUUGGCACCUCGAUGUCGGCUCAUCACAUCCUGGGGCUGAAGUAGGUCCCAAGGGUAUGGCUGUUCGCCAUUUAAAGUGGUACGCGAGCUGGGUUUAGAACGUCGUGAGACAGUUCGGUCCCUAUCUGCCGUGGGCGUUGGAAGAUUGAGAGGGGCUGCUCCUAGUACGAGAGGACCGGAGUGGACGAAUCACUGGUGUUCGGGUUGUCAUGCCAAUGGCAUUGCCCGGUAGCUAAAUUCGGAAGAGAUAACCGCUGAAAGCAUCUAAGCGGGAAACUUGCCUCGAGAUGAGUCUUCCCUGGGGCUUAAAGCCCCCUGAAGGAACGUUAAAGACUAUGACGUUGAUAGGCUGGGUGUGUAAGUGCAGCGAUGUAUUGAGCUAACCAGUACUAAUGAUCCGUGAGGCUUAACCUU
rnacentral:rRNA from 1 species